rnacentral:lncRNA from 1 species
AUAAUACUUAAAUCUAUGAUGUAACGUCAUAUAUUUUGAAUUUUUUGUUGGACUUUCAAAUCUUUAGCCUAAUUGCUUAUCUAAUACUGCAAAUACAUGAAUAUGUAUAUAUGAUAACAGGCUCAAGAAAAGGAGGAGGCAGCAAGGAAGCGUGGUAAAGAGCUCAAACAAAGAAGAAAAGGAUUGAUGAAAGAGCUUUGGUAUACGCAUUCAAUGGACAAAUUCAGCUUGGAAGAGCUUGAAGUUUUGGAUGCUAGUAUGAAGGCCUUGUGGAAUGAUGUUUCCGAACUUGCAAAGAAGCUAAAGAAGGAACAAGGUAACUCGAGUUCAGCUGAGGGUUCUCCAAGGGAUGACGGGAUGUUUUACUCAGAUCCAGCAAUGAAGGCCU